GCGGGUAGGGAAGGGUCGGUUGAAGGCUGCCAGAGUGGAGGGCGAGAGGCAAGAUACUGGCCGCUGCUCCUGGGGAGGAGGUGGCGGUUGAGCCCCCUGCCGGCGUGGCGGCCUGGGCGUGAGGACACCGAGUGCCUGAGGAGAAGGCCGCGGCGUGGGUGCCGCGGUGACUAAGGGAAACGGCCCCGCCGCAGAGCUCCUCGGGCGGCUGGCUGCGGCGCGCCUCCCCCGCCUGGUUUCGCGCAGUGGGUGGUUGCUGACACCUCAGGGAGGGGGACCGUACUGAGCUGCAAGCUUCCUUGCCCUGACGCACGCCCUUCUGACGCCAGGAGAGCCGGAUGGCUCCUCGAGAUCCUCAGAUAAACCAUCUCAAAGGACAGGGAAGGCCAUGGGAGAAGAAUCUCCUGCUGGCCCCUGGAGAGCGCUUCCGCGGACAUUUUGGUGGACUUAGAUCAGCCUAGUGUAGAGAUCAGUUUGGCCUUCGAGAACUGGAGGGUUCGGCCACAGGAAAAAGCUUAAAAGAUGUAGAUCAAAGGAUGGCUAGGGAAAGAAACCUCAGGGGCUGUCUUGGAGCUGAGGGAUUGACUGUUAGUCAUACAUGGUAGUAGGACCAUUACCUGUAGUUACAGGGUGGGCGAUGUAAUAAGCCCUUCAAAACCGGAGCACCUUGCCUUCCUACAGCAGUAAGCUAUCUGCAGCAUUCAUUAGCGAUUAAUAGCCGCCCCAGAGCUCUUGCUAAAGUGUAAGGUGUAAUGUCUCACAAUAGCACCAAUAUAAGGAAGAUUUAGAGAGUUCAUUUCCACAUAGUUCGUCUUAAUCCCCCUGAAAGUUCUUGAGGAAAUUACUUUCAAUGCCCCUUUCAACCUAAAGAACAUAAGACAACCACUGGGUGUACAAUAAUUUUGCGUAAGCGGUUUUGCUUAGAGAAAUCUGCUUAGUCAUUUCAGUUGCGUUUAGUAUUCCCCCCAAA
rnacentral:lncRNA from 1 species